AGGUUGAGGCGGGAGCCGGCGGGCACCUCCAGCAUGCUGCCCCACGCCUGGUCGCACAGCAGCUCGAUCUCGGCCGAGUAGAAGAGGUCCCCCGCUGCCUGCUGGGGGCCGCCGGGGGGGCCCCUCUGCCAGGGCAGAGUGGCCAUGUCAGCAUUUUGAGGAUGUAGCAGGCAUCCAUGGAGCUGACUCCAGAGCUGAAUGAGCUGAAAGGGGGUCUUAGCCAUAACUCUGGGGCAGACACAAUGCAUCAUCAAUUUUCUUCUCUCUUCCUUCAUUUCUGAGGUACUGAAAAGUAACAGGAGCAUCUGAAUCCGUUCCAGGAGUCCUUUCUCUUCCAGCUCUAGAUAACGAGGAAUUAGUGACAUGAACUAAGGAUUUAAAGCCCUCCCUGGAGACUGCAUCCUUCAGAUCUGUGUUUGCUGUUUCUCUGCAGGGAUCCACUGGCUGAUCUGAGACAUUCUUCAGUGCAGUGUGAAUACUUUUAUGCUGUGAGCUCAGCGUGGGUCUGACAAGUGCUGUAGCCAAAACCAGCUAAUCAGAGGAGCACCAAUAGAGCCAAUUACUGCUCAGGCUGCACUUUCAGCCACCCAUGCAUGUGCCACAGUUAUUCAUUCACUUCCUCUGCUUAGAUAGUCUUGUAGACUUUGAGACAGCUCAUGAUUUUCCCAGGCAGGAGCUCUUCCCUUUUUUUUCCACACAUUUUUUACAGAUAUUUAAAUCAAAGGUUUCUCCCCCUGGGCUAUGUAUUUUCUUUGCUGUUUCUGUGGCAGGUGAUUGAAACCUUUUAAUAAAACGUUGCUCUGUUAUGUCUCUCUUCGCCUGUAAAGUGUUGACCGAAUUGAGCUUUGGCCCAGGUAUCAAACAGGAGAGCACAGUGCUCAGGCUGGCUCCCUUUCUGAUGGGUGUAGGUGAUCUGAAACCUCAGCCCAGCUGUCUUUUAUUUAUAUAUCUGCAGUGAUUCCUUUGUAGUCCAGCGUACAAAAUAUCAAACCCAGAUUUUUUUCCCACCGCUCUUUAAACUGGGUGACCUACAAAGAUGAGUAUUUGGCUGUGCUAGUGUCCUCACAGGAAGAGAUGUUUUUGUUAGCUUCUUCUAUCUAUGCUUCUCUAAUUUGAGUCAUUCUUCUCAUAGUUUGACAUUUGGUCCAUUGUAUUUAACUAUUUUUGUACCAAUACUGGGCUGGCUGAUUCCUAUUUAAAAAAAAAUCACAUUCCCUGGCCAUAGUCCUUCAUGUUUUUUCUUUUGAAGAGUAAUCAUGACCAUGAAGAAACUGGAUCUAUUUUUGGGGAUCAGCUGGGAAUACACUGUUGUCUCAAAGAGUUUGGAAAGAUUUAUUUUACGCACAGCAGUAAAAAGAUUUUCUAUAAUAUCAAUUAGAAUUCAAAUGGAAAAGUGAGUAGAAGGAUCAGGUAGUUGGUAUAGAUGGCAAUCUUUGGCUAUACCUUCACUGUAUCUUUCUUGUCCCCUUUGGCCUUUACCCUUUCCCCUGUCCAUCUUCACAGAAUCAUAGAAUGGGUUGGGUUGGAAGGGACCAUAAAAAUUCCUAGUUUCAACCCCCCUGUCAUGGGCAGGGACACCUUACACUAGACCAGGUUGCUCAAAGUCCCAUCCAACCUGAGUUAAACACUCCCAGGGAUGGGGCAUCCACAGCUUCUCUGGGCAACCUGUUCCAAUGCCUCAUCACCUCUCAGUAAAGAGUUUCUUUCUAAUAUCUAACAUAAACCUACUCUCAGUUUGAAACCAAUCUCCCUUCUCCAUUCUGCCUUCAUUGUGGUCACUGAGUCCUGCUCUCCUUUCCCUCUGCCCUGAUCUCUGUCAAAGCUCACCAAUUCAAAUGCAGUUUCCUUUGGAUCUGAACCUCUGUCCUGUUAGCUGUGUUCUGCUGCUGAAACUCCCAUCUUAGUCUGGCUGCUUGACAUCUGGGGACAUCUGGUCCUCAAACCUAUCAUGUCUGAAGGGGAACUGUUUUUCUCUUAUCCAUCACUUGGACUUACAGCCUGGAUAACAUCCUCACUUUUGG